rfam:Papio anubis isolate 1X1155 chromosome 6, whole genome shotgun sequence.
UAUUAGGUUGGUGCAAAAGUAAUUGCGGUUUUUGCUAUUGAAAGUAAUAGUGAAGACCGCAAUUACUUUUGCACCAACCUAUAA